rnacentral:ncRNA from 1 species
GCUUAUCAAGAGUGGUGGAGGGAACAGACCCUGUGAAGCCCGGCAACCUGCCUUUGGGGUAAGGUGCCAAAUUCUGCGGAGUAUUCCGAGAGAUGAG